UAAUAACUUGAAUUACAUGGACCAAGGACUUAUGACCAAACAAGUAUUUUAUUAUUUUGGCUUAAUACCCUGACUGAAGAUCAGCUGCAUCAAAUAUAAAUUUCUAUUUUUAGUUCAGCCUGCUAUAAUCUAAUUUUUUUUAACUACAUUUUGUUUUUUAUUUGCUUUUAACAAGUUGCAGUGAUGUCAAUAAAAAACCACCUUUAGAAGAAAAAAAUAUGAAUCAAAAUGAUAAAAUUAUGUAUAAUAAAGAAAUAUAUUAUGAUUUACCACUAGCUUAAUGAAUAAUAUCUGCAACAUGAUCCUUCUCAAUGGUUACUUAUGUACAGCUUUGCUGAUAAAAUUGCUAAUCAUUUCACAUGACACAGAAUGAAGUACUCCUAUGCAGAUUAAAUAUUGAAAGUGGCUCAAAAUAACUAAACUUCAACAUUCUAACACUUUAUUGUUGCUAGCUACAAUUUUCUUUCCAUUUGAAUCUUCAGAGACUAAGUCUGUCUGUAUAUUGGCACAAAAAAUGGCCACAGUACGUCUUUGUUUCAUGUAAUGUAAUCUAAUGAUCAAAAUAUUAGAGUUUUUACAAGUAGAUUAGCACCAAGACUUGACAUUCUCAUAAUAAUUAUUACAAACCUGGUUAGAUAUUUGUCUGAAUUACUUAAAAUACAAUAAGAGCAUAACUGGAAAAUCCUCAUUGCUCAAUAAAUUAUUUUACUUGUUAAAAUUCAAUAUUUCUUAUCAAUAUGAGAUGAAGUAAAAAAAACAAAGCAAGUAAUAUUGUACAGAUCUUUAAGAUAUACCACUAAAAAUAGAUAUAUAAGAUACUAGCUGUAACCGUCUGCUUUGGUGGGCAUUUAAAAUUAACAUUAUUAUUUCUCACCCCCACAAAGAUUCUCAUCACUAACGCCCCCGCAACUAGUGUAGGAGUCCAACACUCAUAUAAAUAUUAGCCUAUCCAUUAAGUACAUGUAUUUUCUACAUGGAAACCAAGUUUCAAGUCAAUCGGAUGCAUGGUUCAGUAGUUAUAACCGAACAUCUGUAAAAACCACUCUAGAUUUAUAUAUUAGUAUAGAAGUAUAGAUUCAAUGUUAUGCUUACAGUUAGUCUAUGAACUAUUUAUAAAGCACCUAAUGACAAAAAAGUGUAGUCCUGUUGACCACUUCUGACAACUUAAAAUAAUAAAAAAAAAAAAUCUGUUCUGAUUUGCUGCCGUGUAAAUGUUUUAUUCCAUUUUAAUCAAUACAAUGAAAUAAAAAAUGAACAUUUGUGUUGUCAUUCUACAAAUAACUUUACAUCUUGCACAAUAAGACACAAACUUGGAAUCUAGCCUUUUUAAACAAAUCUGUUUCAUGUACUUUGUUGUGAAUACUUUCUCGUGCAAAAAGUAAAAUGGAGCAGAAUAAAAUGAAGUUGAUUUAUCUGAAAUUAAUUGCUUGGUAAUUCAUCAAAUGACAUGAAAUGUAAAGAGUUAGAAUAAAGAAUAAAAAAAAGUGAACAGUUCAAAUGAAAUGACAUUAGAAAAAUGGUGGGAAUUUACUUUAUUUACUACAGUGGAAUUUUUUAGAACCCUUUUUUUCAUACCUAAUUGCUGGUAACCUAAAGAGCUUAUUCCAGCAAAGUCAGACAGGGUAGCUGAGGUCACAGGUUUAAGCUGAGAGAAUUUGCCUAACCCAACCAUUGAAAUCCAUUGAAAAGAUCCGGCCAGAAACUCGGUAGAUUAUAUCUGUGGACUAGGCUAACUAAAUGCACUUGAAAUUAAAAGCACUAAAUUAUCCACGAACACCACAUAUUAUAAUAUUAUAUUAAAACUAGCUGACCCGGCAAACGUUGUGUUGCCUUAAAUAAGAUUUCUAGGGAAAUUCUCGUGUAGAAAAAAAAACCUCACUCAACUACAUAAUACCUCAUUAUAACCAAAAAAUAAAAUUAUCCAAAAAAUAAAAUAAAAAAAUAAAUGUUUGGGGUGGACAACCCUUAUCACUUAGGGGUAUGAAAAAUAGAUAGUAGCCGAUUCUCAGGUUUACUGAACAUACUAUUGAUACACAGAUAAAAAAAAAAAAAACAUGGCUAGCAAGCUAUGACUGAUACACAAAUAAAACCAAAAAAACAUUAGUGAGUAAGACAGGAGACCAGCUUCGUCCUAAUCCCUACUAUGUGAUGUUUGCUGGAUGAGUGGUGACACCUGGCGGGGAUAACUGAUCGAUUGAUAGUUGAACAGAAUUUAAAAAAAUAUAUAAUUAAAGGAACUUAAAAUUAUAACUCUGAAUAAGAAUUUAUCGUACUACAAUUAUAAUAUUUGAUUGCCAUCUUGCAACCUUAUUGCGGAUCUGUGCAUAGAAUAAAAAAAAAAUUAAUAGGGGUUGAUCCUAUAAGAGUGAAAAUUGAGAGUAAUAUAAUAUUUUUUUAUUUUAAGUCAUGACAAAAUAAAAUAAAAAACUUGCCAAAAAAAUUAAAGUUUAAACAAAUAAAAAAUAGGGGUUGAUCGUAGAGGAGUGAAAAUUGCAGAGUAAUAUGAAUUUUUUUAUUCUAAGUCAUGACAAAAUAAAAACAAAAAUCUUGCAAAAAAAUUUAAAGUUUUUAAUUAGCAAAUAAGAAAUAAGGGUUGAUCGUAGAGGGGUGAAAAUUUAGGGUUGUAUGUAUUUUUGUAUGCUGUAUCAUAAAAAAAUAAAACAAAAAUUUUUGUCUAGAAAAUAAAAAAAAUAUUUUAUUGUGGACCACUCUUAACAUUUAGGGGGAUGAAAAAUAGAUGUUGUUUGAUUCUCAACCCUGACCGAUAUGCACGCUAAGAUUCACGAAAAUCGGUCGAGCCGUUUCGGAGGAGUUUAAUCACGCACCCCGUGACACGAGAAUUUUAUAUAUUAGAUUACAUUACGUUUUCAUUAUGGCGACUAUCGUUUCGGUUCUCUGUAGAAGAAUAUAUUGAAUUUUUGUAAAUGAAAUAAAACAAGAAUUUAUAAUUUUAUAUAAAUUAAAAUGAAUUUACAAAUUAUUUCUUAUAGUUUGCUUACUGCUAUAAACUUCAUUUAUGAAUUUAUCUAUCUUUUCGCACUUCAUAAAAAUACCCUAUCUAUUUAUCGACAGUUAAUAUAAUUUUUUGGUGUACCUCAUUGGUGAUAUAUUUUUUUAUUUAUUUUUAUUGCCGUAUAGACAGACGAGCAUACGGCCCACCUGAUGGUGAGUGGUUACUGUCGCUCAUGGACGUCAGCAAUGCCAGGGGCAGAGCCAAGCCGCUGCCUACCGUUUAAUACUCUCCACAAGUCUCGUUUGAAGAAGGACAUGUCAUAGCACUCGAGAAACACCGAGGAGGGGAGCUCAUUCCAUAGCCGGAUGGUACGUGGCAAAAAAGAUCUCUGGAAACGCACUGUGGAUGAACGUAGUGGCUCCAGGUAGUAUGGAUGAACUCUACUACGGUGGCGGGCGGUGCGAUGGUAAAAACGAGUUCGCCAUAAGUUCAGUAUUCUUCAUUUUCCCAAGGCCACAAGUUCGAUGAAAUAGUCUCCAGAAACUUAUUCCAAUAGAUUAUUACGCUAUUUUACAAAUACACAAGAGCAAGAUUAGUUAUAUUUCAUGUAGAAAAAAUAGAAUAGAGAUACUAAUAAAAAAAACAAACCCUAUGUAUUAAUUUUUUUUUUAUGUGAUUUUAUGACCUGGUUACUAAGACCUUUAAGUCAUGCCUUAUUUUAAUUUAUAUUAUUAUUUUUAUGAUAAAUGAUGAAAUGAAAUGAAGAUGAUUAAUUUGAGACAUUAGUCCACUGGAAUGAAAUCAAAUGAAAUGAGAUGAGAUGAUAUGGGAUGAAAUAUAAUCUUAGUAAAAUGGUGGUCAUUUGCUGCGACUUUUUCAUUGGACUUUUUGGAGAAUCCCGACAAGUGACGUCCAGCGGCUUUGUUUCAUUUUCCCACAUUUGUGCACUUUCAUAUAUAUUAAACAGUUAAUAAACCACCGUUAUUACACAUUUAACCUUACGAAAUACUAAAUAGACAAACUAAAAUAAAUCACACAACUUCACUCUUUGCGUUCCCGCCAAAAAGUCCCAUUAAAAUUAUUAGACGAAAGGCACAGAUAUCAUAAUUUUACUUAUAGACGACUGGCUGACUACACAAGUCCUUUCGGCGGGGUGAACGAAGACUAGAUUCUGUUACACAGCAUCUGAAAAUAUAUUCAGCGUGGUUCAGAAUGUACGACUUACCGUUUCGUUGCCUGCUUUGUUCACGAGCCCUUUUAUCAGUCUUCAAAUCGACAUUCUGGAAUCCAAAUCCCUUGGGCCAAAAUGUCUUCUAGCCCUAGCGCGGUACAUGUGUAUUUUUAAUGAGUCCUGUGGGAUCACGUACUCACAGUCGUCGCCAAUCACCUUUCAUGAAAACUUGUAGCUGAUACUGGGUUGCCUUUCCCAUGCGGGGCCAACGCAACGGCAUGCAAAUUCUCCACCGUAUCGACAUUGCUACCACAUGUACAUUUUUAUUAAGGCAUAUUCAUUAUUUAUUUAUAAGGUUCGUUGAAAACCUUUAGCUAUAUAAGGUGCGGCUUUCUUUCUUGAUCAUGUAUUUUAGCCUAUGAGGACCAGGUUAACUAUCUCAACGAUUUAUAAAAUGGCUUCAAGACUAGCUGCUCAAUGGUAUAAUAGCCGGCAAACUUCUUGAGCAUUUGUUGACGUAGUGGGGGUAAGUUUGCGCAUGGUACACUCACGUGCAAAAACAUUAUUUACUCUGCGUCAUAAUGCAAUUAAAUUAUUAAAAUCAACAUAUGUAUUUAUUUAUAUAUUUAUUAGAACAUCAACAAAAAAUAUAGGUUAAUAAUUGUAAUAAUUUAAUCUUGGGGUAAAAUAGAUAUUCCUUCUAUUAAGUCAAAACUACAGCUGUUGCCAGGUCCUUGGUUCAGUUGAAGCGAAGCUGGUAUUUGUAAUUUUUUUUUCGUUAUCAUAAUCUUGACCAUCAUCAUCAUCACUGUUUUCAUCACCCGAGUCGCCAUCAUCGUGAUGAGUCGACAUAGGGCUCAUCGGUGUAGUUUACAACUCGGUCGGUUCGAUCUUCUUUUUUGUCUAUAGAUAAUUAAUUAUAUUUUGAAGAUAUUCGAUUCGUAAUAAUCGAAUGUUACUUUUUUUAAUUACCAGCUUCCGAUUAUUUUCUGUUUUUUUUUUCCAUCUGAAGCCUAGCUCUUUCAUAAUUUGUCGUAAACUUCAUUCCGAGCCAUUAAAAUGUAUAUCUUCUUUAAAUUUUCCGAAGCCUUUCUACGGUACGGAGUUUCGCUGCUUGCUAUGUAGUUAUUAUGAUUACAUCUUUUUAUUACAGAUUGAACGCAACUAUCCAUUCCGGUAACUUUCUUCUUCCCUGAUCUUUUCUUACCCGGAGUCCCAAACACGGCGAGCAAGCCAGAGCCUUUAGCUUCGUUAAUAAUGGACCUAACAGUACUCACUGAUGUUUUUGUUGCUUCCGAAGUCUGUUUUACUUUUUCCAUAUCAUUUUUCUCCUGUUUUAUAAUGAAGCAAUAUACGUCGUACACAAUUUUUCUACCCUUUCUUUUGAAUACAACACCAGUUUGUCACGGCAUAGUGUAUUUUUUAUAAAAAAUCAACAAACACUCAACAAAUAGCAAUGGCAACAAAGUCAACAAGCAAUUAUAACAAAUAACUUAACGAUUAAUAACGAUAGACUUUUCACUGUACGCAAGCGUACUUUUGGGAGCAAGCGGAACGAGGGCGCGGUGCGGGGCGCAAGUUUCGACUGAUCUACCAAUAACGCGCUCGAUACGAUUUCCCCUGCCGUCGCGCCUCACCCUCACCACCAAAGUGAUCUAAAAUUCGGUUCUGCGCAGUCAAGAUCAUUUGCUCAAAAUGUUUGCCGGUUACUAUAACAACUACAGAUUUUCAAAACCUUCCAUCUGUAAAGAAACCAUUCCAAUCUGCCCGUUACCUAAGUAUCAAUUUUAAAAAAUGUACAGGUUGUGAUUAUUGAAGAAACUCAAUACAGAUUUUUCAAUACAAUCACUUUCAAUUCACGUUUCUCCUCGCGCUUUAAGAUCGACGUCAACACAUGUAUGUAUAUGUUUAUGGAUUGUAGUAAUCACUUAAUAUCAUAUGGGCCGUGAACUCGUUGACAUUCUUAAAACUCACGUCAGUCACAGUCAAACGUCAACAUUUGAAGUGUCAUUCAAAAUUUAUUCAACUUAAUCUCAUUAAAACAACUCUUUUAAAACAGUUUGCUAUCACCGGCUCCACUAAAUUGGUCACAAUCCUGAGAAGAAACGCCUAAAUAUAAUAGGUUGGAAAAAGUCUUUUCGCAUUAUAGUAUGUAUGAACUUGUAAUAAAAUCUCUUUGGCUAUACUUUUUGUAGCUGGCUGGUGCAGUGUCUGUGAAAGUAGCACAAAUUUGGUUUAAGCGUUUUCAAUCCGGAAAUUUUGAUGUCAAAGAUGCACGUCGCUCUGGUCGCCCUAUUACGGAUAAAAUGGAUGCCAUUUUUGAAAAAGUGGAGCAAGAUCGGCAUGUCAGUAGUUACGACGUAGCUGAAGAACUGGGAAUUGACCACAAAACAGUUUUGGCGCAUUUGAAAAGAACUGGGUACACAAAAAAGCUCGGUAUUUGGGUAUCUCACGAACUCACUGAAAUAAACCUGAUGAACCGUUACUCAUUUGUGAUUCUUUAUUACGAAGUAAUGACACCGAACCAUUUUUGAAGAAGCUGAUAACUGGUGAUGAAAAGUGGAUCACAUACGAUAAGAACUUGCGAAAAAGGUCGUGGUCAAAGGCCGGUCAGGCUUCACAGACUGGCGAAACCCGGGUUAACUCGCAACAAGGUGGAUGCUGUCAUUAUUUGCUAUUACCACCAGCCAGGACCAUCGAUUUUGAACUCUACUACGAACUACUGAUGAGAUUAAAGCAAGAAGUUGAGAGAAAGCGGCCGGAAUUAAUCAACAGAAGGGGUGUGGUUUUUCACCAUUAUAACGCUAGACCUCACACAUCUUUGGCUACUCAGCAAAAUUUAAAAAAUUUAAGAGAGCUUGGCUGGGAGGUGUCAAUGCAUCCGCCGUAUAGUCCUGACCUUGCACCUUCAGAUUUCCACCUGUUUCGGUCUGUUCAGAAUUCUUUAGGCAGUGUCAGGUUAACAUCACGAGAGGACUGCCAAAACCAAUUGUCGCGGUAUUUUGAUCAGAAGCCCCAAAAUUUCUAUAGCAAUGGGAUCACGUCCCUACCUAAGCGGCACGUAAGUUGGCAAGGUUUUAGAGUAGUGGGGGUAAGGUCGCUCAUAGUGCACAUUGCAACUAAAAAUAGUCACUUUUAUUGCCCGAAUAUAAUUUAAUUUAAUUUUUUAUUUGCCAUAAUUUAUUUUUAAGCAUGUGUGUUGAGAAGAAAGUUAAAGAAAAGAGAGGAAUUCGAGAAGUGUAUUAAGUGUUAAUAAAAUACAAUUAAAAGUAAAGAAGUUUACUUUAAAAAAAUAUACUUAAUAUUAAAAAUUAUAUGUCGCCUUCACUAUCGUUUUCUAAUAGUGCUACCCCUUGCAUUAAAUUUAUGGUAGUACCUGAGCUGGUGGAAGGAGUUGUCUCCUCAUCCUCGACAUAACUCUCGUCACUGGCGUAAAUAAUGAAAUGCUCAGUGACUGAAUCGACUAUAUGGUCAUCGGUAUUUGGUCCUGGCAUUGCAAACAAAUUUAAAACAAUAACACUCUUAACAAAAACUAAAUUUAAAACAAUAAUAACAAUUCGUAACAAAAACUCAAUAUAAACAAUGGGUACCUACAAGUUUAGUAGGCGCAAGUGUAGUCAGGAGCGAACCGAACGUAGACGCGGUGCGGGAAGGGAGGGUCGACUGACGCACCAAUCGCGCGCUCGGUACGGUGCUACGUCUUUCCCCGCGUCCCGCUUGAGAACCCAAGAGACCUAAAAAACGACUUGUGCGCAUCAAACGACUCUUGCCAAGAUACGUGCCGGGGACUAUACAAGAUGGCAAAAGCUAUCGAAAAAAUUGGUACCUACAUACUUUAGUUAAAUGUAAAUAAACUACAUUAAAAAUUGUUGUGAAUUUUCUAAAAAGAUGCGAAGAAACUUUUUCCCUAACCUAUUAUUAAGUGCCAGAAUAUUUUUUAUUACCAUUACUAAUUUUACGUUAUUUUCCUUUUAAAAGUAGAUCAACAAUUUUAUUGUUUAAAAUGGAGGAUUAUACUGUCCAUUAAAAUGAAAGCGCCAAUAGCGAUUAGCGAACAUCUCAUUUUCAUAUCAUAUGAUGUCUGUUGAAUGUUAAGUAGUAAUUAACUUAAAUGUUUUACUACAUAAACCUGCUUUUAGAGUGAGUAACAGUUUCCUUAAACCUGAGAAAGAUUGCUAUAAAGCAGCACAAAGGCACGGCUUAAAGAGUUGUUAUAGUAUAUAUUCGCGCCGUCCGGAAAGUAAAUAUAUCCUUGUUUUUCUAGUAUUUAUAUUUCACAAUUUUGAAAACCUGUGGAAGUUAUUUUAAAAUUUUAAAUUUCAAGAAUACACGGCAACGUCUUAAAAAUAACCACAUUUAAAUAUAUAUAUAACAUUUUUAUAUGCUUGGGAAAAAGGUAUAAUGUGGACUGUGUUCAUAGAAGUCAGGGUUGCCCCAUUCAUCGUCGAACUGAUUCAUGUCCUUUUUACUUCUAAGAUAAGUAUGUAGAUCAAAAAAAAAAAAAAGAAAAUUUAGUUAAAUACAUAUACAUAUGCGCCUUUAAUGUGAAAGGGUGUCAACAAGUGCAACCUUUUGGCAUUUGAAAUAUUGAAAGUACUCAAUGAAGCUAAGCACUGCUGCUUUUUCAAGGUGGGUGGCGCAUUUACGUUAUGGAUGUCUAUGGGCUCCAGUAACCACUUAACACCAGGUAGGCUGUGAGCUCGUCCACACAUCUAAGCAAUAAAAAAAAAAAAAAAAACGGGAGUGCUGUGAGGAAUUAUUUCAGAUGAUCCUUUUUACUACGGCCUUCCUUUAGUUAGACUUUAGAGCAUACUCUCUAGAAACAGUGCAUUCCUAGGAAUCUUUUUUGUCUGUUAGGUACUAUAAAAAAAAAAAAAAAAAAGGUACUAUACAACUACAUUGAACUUUGUUUAACGGCGUUUCCUGAGCGUUAUGACAUGCCCUUCUCCUAAAGAAGUUUUUGGAGAAUAAUGAGCAGCUUGACUGUGUUUUUGCUCACGUCCAUGCGCGAUGUUAGCCACUUAUCAUCAGUUCGGUUGUAUACACAUCUCUUAACGGCUACAAAGAAACGGGGUUAUCGGCUAAAUAUCUCUACAUUCCUCAUGUACCAUGGAGCUAUAAUAGUUCAGUUAAAGAAGCGGGUUUUCAAGACUGAAGGAGUUUAUGUACUCCCAUUAAUAAUGAUCAUGUCACCUUAUUACGAAGGAACAAUUGUUCUUCGCUCGCAGAUCAUACAGAUGGCGCUUAGAUACUUGACCUUCCUGGUCUAUGAUAUUCUCAGCCCGAAAAGGAUAAGGUGAGCGGAGUAGUGGUUUGCAACUGAAUCGGAAGGACAUUCGCAUCGAUGACUUUCUUUUAGUAUGCAAAGCUGAACUUUGCACUUGGUUAACUUCGAGACGCCACUUUUGACUGAACAACAAAAGACAGGCUGAAGUGAAGUAGGGCCAGGAUUAGACGAAGGACCAAAAUCAAAACGAGUGAUAUACCAAGAACUUUCGUAAGGUGAGCACGAAAAUGUCCGGCAGGCCCAAGUCGUACUGUUUAUAAAUCAAACCUUUUUACCAGACUUUGUCGAACAUCAUUGCGACAUAGAAGAAAGAGGGCUCCCGUAAAAAGCUUGAUACACCCAAACAGAUUAUGUUAUGGGUCUGUUAAGAUGUUGUACGUCCGAGUGUUUGAGUAGAAUCUAAAUUGCUCGUCAAUAAAGAUACCCUUGAAGAACACCUGAAGUUUCUGAGGUGCUUGCGGAGCUAUUGUCUUAUUACUUGCUUAGAGACAUAAGACUAAUCAGGUAGCUCGAUAAUUCUUUGCAUUCCAGGCUUGUAAAUGCUGAUAAUGUCUGCCGCACGAUCUCACCAGUGCGAAAAAUACAUUCGUUGUGUCUUUUGAUUUAUUGAGAAGUUCUAUAGAGCUUUGAGAAUUAUCUCUGCCAUUUUGUUUAUUAAAAUAUUGCUCAGAAAUAAAAAAAAGUGGUCGGUAAUUCUUUUUUCUGUUAUUCUAUUUGGGAAUUUCCAGAGGAGCUGUUUUGAUUUUAACACCCGACUCGUUUUUAAACCACUCUGCCUUUUUCUCUCUUUCCUUCAUUGCUUUGAUCGCUUCAAUAUUAUGAAUUCUACAUUUUCUCACAGAUUUUUUCUCGCAAACAAGACCCUAAAGCUAUUAAUAUACUAGUUAAGAAAUAUCCGAGAAGCAAGGAAAGCUUAAAAAAUUCUCCAUACCUGCUUUGCGUAAUGUUAUUGCAGCCAUUCAACUCUUGACACGCAUAAUAUCAAGCAUAUUUAACAGAGAAUGGUCCGUAAAUGAAAAAAAAAACAAUGUAUAUGUGAAAACUUUUUUUUUGUUUAUUGUGAUAGUUGUUAUGGAUUGAUGAUUAUUACAAUUUUUUUUUUCUAUUUUAAAACACUCCAGUUACUUAAAUUUUAACCUCGACUUUGGCAAAGUUGUGUCGGUAAAGAAAAGUAAUAAUAUGGACAAAAGCAGGAAGAUGUAUCGAGAUGUAUGUAAGAUCGAUUAAUUUAGAGGGCUUCAAAACUAGUUCGUUUGCUACGAGUUAUUCAAUUAUACAUUUUUUUAUAAUUUUACACUACUUCAUUCAUUUCAUUCACUACCUCGUUCAUCCUCAGUGCGUUUCCAGAGAUUACCAUCCGGCUUUGAAAUGAGCUUCCCUCCGCAGUGUUUCCCGAGCGCUAUGACAUGCCCUUCUUCAAACAAGGCGUGUGUAGAGUAUUAAACUGUAGGCAGUGGCUUGACUCUACUCCUGCCAUUGCUGACGUCCAUGAGUGACAGUAACCACUCACCAGAUGGACGGCAUAGUCGUCUGCCUACAAGAGCAAUUAAAAAAAAUUGACUAUUUAAAUUGAUAUAAAGCAUAUAAGUUAAGUAAUAAUGGAGAUUUCUAGUCCAUUGGAAAGUAUCCUGUUGGAUACUUUCCAAUGGCUCCAUCUACCAUUCCAUGGGGUCCAUCUACAUUUCUACCUCAAUGAAAUUAAAUUACCCAUUUUAAGCAAGAUUCUGUUUAAAUUAAUUAUGGAGUUGUUAUAAAUAAGCAUAAAUUUUCCUAGUUAGUAGUAGAGUAGUCAAAUAAAUAAUAGAAAUGUUUUUAGAACUUGUUUUUUUGUUUAAAUGCAUCUUAAAGAAACCGUAAUUUUUAAUUUCCGGUAAUAGGAGGUUGUAGAACAAAAUCAUAGUUUAAUAAAUUGAAGAACGCAUCUAACAUAAAGUGCAGUUUAUUAUAAAUAUGUUUGAUUACUUAAAAUAAAAAUAUAUAUAGCCGCGCCGUAAAGGCAAUUGACUUGUAUUUGUUGCGACAUCGUUGACUUGUUCGAAUUAUCAGGCUGUGACGCGCAACGCAAGGCGUGCGAUCUGGCAGCGUGGCGCCGCUCUGCGGGUCGAAUACGUUUGUUUGAAUUCGGAGCGGCAACGUCGCAACACUUCGAAACGCGUUGUAUUUUAACAGACUUGAUCAAAAGUUUAAGCAAUUCUUUAGUCACGAAACGCUUCAUAAAUACCGGCGUCAUAGUUUUGUGGUAUUGUGAGGGUCUACGCAUGUGAAACGAAAGGGUUUGUUUCUGUACUACCUUAGCUCACGGGAAAACGUAAAUUACCGUUCAAUAUCUGCCUUGCUUAAUCCGUGCCUAAAAAUUGUUUAUUUUUAAUUGAAUUUUUGAUCUAUACAGUUUUAGUUUUAUUAAUAUUAAUUAAUCUAUCUCGGGCUAUAAUCUAUCUAUUGUAACUUGGCGCAGUCGGCUAGCCAGGGCUAGCCAUAAUAUGGCAUUCCAUUCGGCUAUUGGAUGUUAUGUUGCGCUCUCGUAUUCGCUCGGUUCAGUACAUUAGAAGUUCUCGAUAGCGCUUAGAUAAUGCUACUAUGUUGACCAGUCGAGUAGGAGAAUGUUAUUGUCUCUAAAUCGGUUUAUAACAUGGAGCAGGCUCGCAGGAUUUUCACGUUUUCUCUAAGUUGAUGUUACCGAAACUUCGCUUUAACGAGGGCUCUGAACAACUUCAAGUAAAUUUAUGUAAUUUCAACUGUCUGACCAUGGGAUCUUUACAAAGAAACAUUUUGCUAUUCCAUCCGGCAGCCCCAAAUUAUAAUGCUGCUGUCUCAGUUCAUAUAAUAAGCUGUAGGCACUACACAAUCGUGAUUGUGUUCUUCUCUGACACGCUGCUUUACUAACAUCAUACGCAACAUUCCGAACACCACCAAAAUAUAAAAAAGAAAAAUUAUUAGUUUUAAACAUUAAAAUAAGUAAGUAUAAUAUACAAAUUGGAAAUUUAAAGUAUUUUAUGUUUAUAAAGUGAAUCGGAAUUCCACUAUUUCUUGGCUUGGGCUGUUUGUGCGAAUAGGAGAAUGGACUGAGCGUGAAAAAAUCGAAUGCAGGAAGUUUUUAAAAAUGUACUUUUCUUAAGGCUUUAUUGUUUUAUAAGCAACUGUCGCCGCCGCGGUCUAAUAAAAUACAGUUUAACUCGAUUUUUUUUAAAUUCAAAUAGACCAUCACAUGUGAUUAUAAAUCCCAUGACUUAAACGCGAUUGGGAAUGCCGCUUAAUUACUAAAAAUAAUCUAAGAAACUUAGGGCUUUCCCUAUUCCAAAUAUGUAAAUGUACAUAAAAACUACCAUAUAUUAGGUAUUAUAAAUAAACUAGUCGUACCUGCCCGCUUCGCUGGGCAUUUAAAAUUAACAUUAUUAUUUAUUGUCAUUAUUAAGGAGUCCAAAAUCAUAUAAAUCCUAGCCUAUCCAUUAAGUACAUGGAUACCAAGUUUCAAGUCAAUCGGAAGCAUGGUUCAGUAGUUAUAACGGAACAUCCGUAAAAACAACUGUAGAUUUAUAUAUUAGUAUAGAUAUCAUGUGCUAUGAAGACGAGUUGAAGUAAGAGAUACAGGUCUACAUUACCAAGGACUGAUCUGUCAGUAAUGUUGUAUGAAGUACAGUUGCUAACAGUAUAAAGACCUUUCGUUAUUCAGGCACUUUUAAUUUUAAAACUUAUAACAAUGUCAUGUAAAGCUCGAUCUGUUCGAUCGAUCUUUUUACUGGUGGUAGGACCUCUUGUGAGUCCGCGCGGGUAGGUACCACCACCCUGCCUAUUUCUGCCGUGAAGCAGUAAUGCGUUUCGGUUUGAAGGGUAAGGGAGCCGUUGUAACUAUACUUGAGAUCUUAGAACUUAUAUCUCAAGACGGGUAGCGCAUUUACGUUGUAGAUGUCUAUGGGCUCCAGUAACCAUGGGCUGUGAGCUCGUCCACCCAUCUAAGCAAUAAAAAAAAAGAUAUUUAAUUUCGAAACGAACGAUUAAAUUUUAUUAAUUUCAUUGUGAAGUAUUAUUAGUUUGCACUUUUAAAUCUGAAAAUAUAUUUAUCAAACUUGUUCUCAAUUUACAAUCCUCUACAAUGCGACGCUGUCUUCAGCAUCUUCUGCCGGGCUUACUACCCUCUGCCACCGAGUCCCACAUAUUACAUAUUUAUACAUAUUUUACAGAUUUAGUAUUUUUUUAGUUAUACAUAGCUUACAUUUAUAGUUUCUUGUUUCCAUACUUUAGAUUUUCGAUCUGUGACGUCACAAAGCUACUGACAAAUAAUUUGUUCACCCCGUGUAAUUUCCCUACUGAUUUGAAAUUAUUUAAUUCAUACAAUCAAUAUGUCCGAAACAGAAGUGUAAUCAUACAGCAAAUUCGGAGAGAAAGCGAGCAUCAAUGUUACCGUACAUUACCGUACUACGAUUAGACUCCACCCACUCUCGCUCUAUCGACCUGCGCGGUCAUCUUGUUCUGGCACCGUGGUGUUCUCUACACAGCUCGAAAUUAUUCUUAUUACAAAAUAAACUUUUUACAUAAAAAACAGACUUCGUUAGUAAUUUUGUUUUGUAAUAGCACCAAAGCUAGUCAAGGGAUAGUUUAGUUUUAUAUUCCUAAGACACGGAAGUUGAAUAGUUAAAUGCGUCAAUACGAAAAUAUGGCAGAUCAGCAAUACUCAACAUUUUGAAAAUUAAAAAUAACCAGAUACAAAUUUUAUUAAAUAUAUUUCAUUUAUUUAACAUCCGACUAUUCUGAAAGAUGUACUUAUCUAAAUGAAUCAAUUCCACUAAGCAGAUGUUACAUUAAAAGUUUUACUACAUUACAUACAUCACUUUAAUAAAAUAUCUUUUGCAAAUCUACUCUCAAACUGCCAAAAUUUGCAGAAUUGUGAGUUAUGCUUUGACAAUAUUUCAGCUAUUAAAAUUAAUUUAUAUCAAGACCCAGUAAGUAUAUCAGGAUAUUUUCUUCUAAAAUCUCAAAAAGAUCACUUUAACAGCAAUAUUAAAUGUAUUCGAAAAAGUAAUUAUUAUAAUUUAACUAAGAACGCUGAAAAUAUUUGGCGUAUACGAAUAUAUUUUUUAAUUUUUUAUUGCCCUUGUACGCACACGAGCAUACGGCCCAACUGAUGAUGAGCGGUUAUCGCCGCCCAUGGACUUCAACAAUGCCAAGCCGCUGCCUACCGUUAAGUACUCUCCACAAGCUUCGUUUAACGAAGGACAUUUCAUAAUGCUCGGGAAACACUGUGGAGGGGGGGGAGCUCAUUCCAAAGUCGGAUGGUAGGUACGUGUCAAAAAAGAUCUCUGGAAACGCAAUGUGGGUGAACGCAGUGGCUCCAGGUAGUAUAGAUGAACUCUCUACUCCGGUGGCGGGCGGUGCGAUGGUAAAAACGAGAUGAUGGAAUCGCCUCAGACAAUUCCUCAGAGCACUCCCCAAGGAACAUGUAGUACAAAAUACAGAGAGAAGCGAGGUCCCUUCGCAGACCUAGAGGUUCCAUAUUCUCUAAUAUAAAUAUUUUGGAUCGGGGUACUCUUAUAGGUAAACGAAAAUAUAAAAAAAUCGGGCAUAACUUCGAUUUAAAAUUUAAAUAGGUAAAGUAGAUUAAUGAAAACAUUAAUUAUUCUGAUACUGAAUGGAUGAAAAUAUCUAAAAUUAUGAUGGAAUGUCACAUCUAAUGAGAAAUCAAAUAUGAUCUUGAAAAUAAUAUCAUUGAAUAAUACGUAUAUAUUUCGUAAUAAUCUCGUUUCUAUUUCCUAAAAAUAUUACAGUUAAUGGAUGCUAAUUAUAAAAUUUUAAAUGUAGUUGGUGUAACAUUUAAAAUUUUAUUAAUUUGAAAAUGUUAAUUUUAGUUUAAUUAGCUACGUACCAUUUAUAAAAUCGAGAACAUUUUUUAUUUGCGAAAUGAUUACAUAACACAUUACCAGAACAUUUUCUUGAUGAAAACUAAUGAUAUAGAAAAUGCAUAACUUAAUCAUUGAUUAAUCAGGAAAACCAUUAAUUGGACAUAUUCACGAAAAUUUUGUGCCUAAUUAAUUAAUGUGUCGUUUUUAGUCAGCAACGUGACGUCACAAUUUAUAUUCCCUAACUUGUCGCUACCGGUUGGUCUCAAGCGGCAACAACGCUUACAAAAAUUUUCGUUGUCCCGUCUCACUCACAACCACUCGCACGUUCCACCAAAGUUGCUUAAAUGUACAUGCGGUAGGUAGAUAUAUUAUAAAAUGAGAGCUCUGACUCCGAGUUUCACACGGAAAUCAAAUACAGUGUGUCUGGCAGCGGGUUGCGGGCUGCGGCCAUGUAAGAGCGUUAAAUCUGGCAACAUCGCACCAGACGCCGACCGAUCACGUUGUUUGUGGCGUUAUUUUAACAUUUGCAGGCAUAGAAUAGAUAAAUUAUUCGUAUCGUAGAACUCUUUAUUUAUAAAACAAACUCAAAAUCAUAUGAUCCAAAAGAAAAUUUAUUCAAAAUCAUGUUCGGAGAAACUGAAAUUACUGGGCUAGUACAAAAUUGUAAAAAAAUAUGCUAUAUCCUUUUUAUUAAAAGCUAAAGUGCUUUAGCUACAGAAUUAAAAGUAUUAACGUAAGAACGAAUGUUUUUUGUUUACAUCUACAUACUUAUUUAUAUCUCCCCGUAUCUAUUUGCGCAUGAAACAAGCAGACGAGUAAAGAUACUGAAAUAAGUACUUAUAUACAUGGCAGCCGAAAGGCCGGAGCGGCAACGUUGCGCUGUGUCAGUUACAGCUACACGCUACAUAACUUAUCGGUGCGGCAACAGCGUAAAUCGGCUGUCCAAUUUCAAAACCUAGUAUCUGACAAAUUUAAAAAAAAGUGUGUUUUUGCAUUUUUCGACCUUGUAGACCAUUCUCCACAUAUUAGGAUAGCAAAAACCCCCAAAAAUUUGUAAAAAACGAAGUUACACAAAGUCGGAAACCUAGUAUCUACAGUAAAGGUUUUCAAAAUGCAAAAAUUACAAGAUUAGAACAUAGUAUAUAACAUCAACCAUUUUAAAAACCUAAUAAGUGCUUGUAGUUACUUGGAUUUAAAAUGGUUCAUGCAGAUACUAAGGCAAUGAAAUGGUUGAAAUAAACGUCAAAACUCCCGCGAAACUUUAGUAAGUGAGAAAAUCGUUGCACGUUGUUCGUGUUUUUGUCUAUAAAAUGAGUAAAAAUCAGUUUUAUAGGUCGAAAUUGAUCUUGAAUGCUUUAAAAGAACAACAUGGUGAAAUGUAAGUACGCUUCAGUGUGUUUUAUUAUUGUCAAGGUUUUUUGUUUUCCAAAAUUGCAACCUACUACGACACAUAAAGUAAAUGAAGGUGCAAAUAUUCCAGAGGAUGUUAAAACUGCAUACGGGGAUCACAAAGCUAGAGCAAGUAAAGCAAUACAAAAGUAUCAAGAAGAUGCCUCCCUAGAAAAUACUUCCUCUGUGAGAUACUAUUCGAUGGAUUUACAAAAAGUUAUGUUGUUACCCGACAUGCCUAAAGUCAAAGAAUCGUUUUUCUUGAGUAGAAUGAUAACUUUCAACUUGACAUUUGCACCAAUCAGAAAGAAAACGAAUGUUAAUAAUAUUUGUAUUCUAUGGCAUGAAGCCUGUUCUGGACGAGAUUCUCAUGACAUUGUUAAUGCAAUUGCAGCAAUGAUCGAAAAAGAAAGAGAUUUUAAUCAUUUGAUAUUGUGGUGUGAUAAUUGCAGAGCUCAAAAUAAAAAUUGGAUCCUCUUUACAUCACUUGUUACUAUAAUAAUCUCUGGGUUUUUCAAUUUAAAAAGUUGGACUUUGUAAUACCUACCUAACUAAAGAUCACACAAGCAUGUCGCUGAUGGAGUUCAUGGCAAUAUGGAGAGGCAGAUUAAAAACAAAAGAUGCUGUGUACGAUUUUGAAGACUAUAAGAAUGUAAUUUUGGGUUGCAAAUCGCAUAUUGAAGUUAUCGAAUUCGAAAAAUCGUAUGAGUGGGUAAAAAAGAAACGCAUACCGCGACGCAAUGAUGACCUUGUUCCCAUUAAUAAUUUUUUGCUUAGUUCUUUGGUUGAAAUAAUAUUUGUAAAUGGGUGCCGUAAUAUGUUUUGAAUGAUUUUUAAUCUCCGUAUUCCGAGUUGAAUUCUCUUAUUAAAAACACAAUCUCUUGAUCAUGCCAACCUUAAAAAAUAUUCCAAGAGGCAUUAACGAAAGUAAAAAGGAAGGCAUAGUAACAACUUUAUUUAGCUUAAAGAAGUUUUGGAGAAGAAGUCUUGGCAAAGUGUACCGAUUAAUAAUAAUCCAGUUAAUUUAGUUUCUAGUGGACAAAUAUUAAUAACCGAAUAAUUUAUUUUUAUUUGACUGUUUUCAAAUAUUUUGAGUGAUUAUUUUUUGAUUUUUUACUGUGAACAAAUAGUGUUUGGUUUCCGAUUAUGUGUUUUUUUUUUCUUUUUCAUUAAAACUGCUUAUUUCUGCCCAUAUUUAUGUUGUUUUAUUCUGUUUUUUCUUACUAUGUUUAAAAAAUUGCAUUUAGUUCCUACUCAGUAAAUUCAGACCUAAAUGAAAACAAAGCAAGUGAUCUUACUAAGUCUAUUAAUUUGCGUUUAUCCCCACUCAUUAUAUUUUAGAAUUAGAUGAAAACAAAGCAAGUGAUCUUACUAGGUUUUGAAAUUGUCACACUCAAAAAGUUUGAUCUAAGAAAACAAUCUUUUUAUUAGUAACUGCUCCUCUACGCACAUCUUUUGUGAUAGACGCAUGAAAUCUACUUUUUUAUAAAGCCUGUUAUGCACCUCAAAUUUUGCAAUCACUCUCAAGAAGGUACGACUAAUAUUAUUGAAACGGCACGCUGUCAAAGAUAUGAAAUUGUUUUUCGGCUCUCCUGUAAAAUUUAGUUUUAUGCAGAUACUGG